UACGGAAGGCAGCAGUGGGGAAUAUUGGACAAUGGGCGAAAGCCUGAUCCAGCCAUGCCGCAUGAGUGAAGAAGGCCUUCGGGUUGUAAAGCUCUUUUAGUGAGAAAGAUAAUGACGGUACUCACAGAAGAAGUCCUGGCUAACUCCGUGCCAGCAGCCGCGGUAAUACGGAGAGGGCUAGCGUUAUUCGGAAUUAUUGGGCGUAAAGAGCGCGUAGGCUGAUUAGUAAGUUAAAAGUGAAAUCCCAAAGCUUAACUUUGGAAUUGCUUUUUAAAACUGCUAGUCUAGAGAUUGAAAGAGGAAUAGAGGAAUUCCUAGUGUAGAGGUGAAAUUCGUAAAUAUUAGGAGGAACACCAGUGGCGAAGGCGUCUAUCUGGUUCAAAUCUGACGCUGAGGCGCGAAGGGCGUGGGGAGCAAACAGGGAUUAGAUACC
rnacentral:rRNA from 1 species